rnacentral:rRNA from 1 species
CCUACGGGUGGCAGCAGUGAGGAAUAUUGGUCAAUGGGCGCGAGCCUGAACCAGCCAAGUAGCGUGAAGGAUGACUGCCCUACGGGUUGUAAACUUCUUUUAUAAAGGAAUAAAGUGAGGCACGUGUGCCUUGUUGUAUGUACUUUAUGAAUAAGGAUCGGCUAACUCCGUGCCAGCAGCCGCGGUAAUACGGAGGAUGCGAGCGUUAUCCGGAUUUAUUGGGUUUAACGGGUGCGUAGGCGGGAUGCCAAGUCAGCGGUAAAAAUGCGGUGCUCAACGCCGUCGAGCCGUUGAAACUGGCGUUCUUGAGUGGGCGAGAAGUAUGCGGAAUGCGUGGUGUAGCGGUGAAAUGCAGAGAUAGCACGCAGAACUCCGAUUGCGAAGGCAGCAUACCGGCGCCCUACUGACGCUGAGGCACGAAAGCGUGGGUAUCGAACAGGAUUAGAUACCCGAGUAGUC